rnacentral:rRNA from 1 species
ACUCCUACGGGAGGCAGCAGUAGGGAAUCUUCGGCAAUGGACGAAAGUCUGACCGAGCAACGCCGCGUGAGUGAAGAAGGUUUUCGGAUCGUAAAACUCUGUUGGUAGAGAAGAACGUUGGUGAGAGUGGAAAGCUCAUCAAGUGACGGUAACUACCCAGAAAGGGACGGCUAACUACGUGCCAGCAGCCGCGGUAAUACA